rnacentral:rRNA from 1 species
ACGGGUGAGUAACGCGUGGGAAUCUACCCAUCUCUACGGAAUAACGCAUGGAAACGUGUGCUAAUACCGUAUACGUCCUUCGGGAGAAAGAUUUAUCGGAGAUGGAUGAGCCUGCGUUGGAUUAGCUAGUUGGUGGGGUAAAGGCCUACCAAGGCGACGAUCCAUAGCUGGUCUGAGAGGAUGAUCAGCCACACUGGGACUGAGACACGGCCCAGACUCCUACGGGAGGCAGCAGUGGGGAAUAUUGGACAAUGGGCGCAAGCCUGAUCCAGCCAUGCCGCGUGAGUGAUGAAGGCCCUAGGGUUGUAAAGCUCUUUCACCGGUGAAGAUAAUGACGGUAACCGGAGAAGAAGCCCCGGCUAACUUCGUGCCAGCAGCCGCGGUAAUACGAAGGGGGCUAGCGUUGUUCGGAUUUACUGGGCGUAAAGCGCACGUAGGCGGACUAUUAAGUCAGGGGUGAAAUCCCGGGGCUCAACCCCGGAACUGCCUUUGAUACUGGUAGUCUUGAGUUCGAGAGAGGUGAGUGGAAUUCCGAGUGUAGAGGUGAAAUUCGUAGA